UACGGGGGGAGCAAGCGUUGUUCGGAUUUACUGGGCGUAAAGGGCUCGUAGGCGGCCAACUAAGUCAGACGUGAAAUCCCUCGGCUUAACCGGGGAACUGCGUCUGAUACUGGAUGGCUUGAGUUUGGGAGAGGGAUGCGGAAUUCCAGGUGUAGCGGUGAAAUGCGUAGAUAUCGGGAAGAACACCCGUGGCGAAGGCGGCACUCUGGGACGGUACUGACGCUGAGACGCGAAAGCGUGGGGAGCGAACAGG
rnacentral:rRNA from 1 species